rnacentral:rRNA from 1 species
CACACUGGGACUGAGACACGGCCCAGACUCCUACGGGAGGCAGCAGUGGGGAAUAUUGCACAAUGGGCGAAAGCCUGAUGCAGCGACGCCGCGUGAGGGAUGACGGCCUUCGGGUUGUAAACCUCUUUCAGCAGGGACGAAGCGCAAGUGACGGUACCUGCAGAAGAAGCACCGGCCAACUACGUGCCAGCAGCCGCGGUAAUACGUAGGGUGCAAGCGUUGUCCGGAAUUAUUGGGCGUAAAGAGCUCGUAGGCGGCUUGUUACGUCGGCUGUGAAAACCUGGGGCUCAACCCCGGGCCUGCAGCCGAUACGGGCAAGCUAGAAUUCGGUAGGGGAGACUGGAAUUCCUGGUGUAGCGGUGAAAUGCGCAGAUAUCAGGAGGAACACCGGUGGCGAAGGCGGGUCUCUGGGCCGAUAUUGACGCUGAGGAGCGAAAGCGUGGGGAGCGAACAGGAUUAGAUACCCUGGUAGUCCACGCCGUAAACGUUGGGCGCUAGGUGUGGGCCACAUUCCACGUGGUCUGUGCCGCAGCUAACGCAUUAAGCGCCCCGCCUGGGGAG